rnacentral:rRNA from 1 species
ACCCGCUGAACUUAAGCAUAUCAAUAAGCGGAGGAAAAGAAACCAACAGGGAUUGCCCCAGUAACGGCGAGUGAAGCGGCAAAAGCUCAAAUUUGAAAUCCUGCGGGAAUUGUAAUUUGAAGGUUUCGUGGUCUGAGUCGGCCGCGCCCAAGUCCAUUGGAACAUGGCGCCUGGGAGGGUGAGAGCCCCGUAUGGCGCACGCCGACUCUUUGUACACCGCGGCUCCGACGAGUCGAGUUGUUUGGGAAUGCAGCUCUAAGUGGGUGGUAAAUUCCAUCUAAAGCUAAAUAUUGGCGAGAGACCGAUAGCGAACAAGUACAGUGAUGGAAAGAUGAAAAGCACUUUGAAAAGAGAGUGAAACAGCACGUGAAAUUGUUGAAAGGGAAGGGCUUGCAAGCAGACACGGUUUUACCGGGCCAGCGUCGAAAAGGGGGGAGGAACAAGAACUCGAGAAUGUGGCGCGCACCUU